GAAAUAGAAGAUAAUGUGAUUGCCGAUUUAGGUAUUGCAUAUUAAAAGUUUUUAUUAGUGAUAUGUUUUUUAUUAUUAGUGAUGUGAUUGUGGAUUUAGGUAUUGCAUUAUUAAAGUUUUUUUAUUAAUGACUUUCACAACAACAACAAAAUUUGACCUUGUUUUUUUAUAUCUAGCAGGUAUUGGAUUCAAAUUUCUCCAUUGUUUGAUUUGAUAAAAAAAAUGGAAUGGAAGGUUUCGGAAAGAUAGAAUUAUGCAUCGACUCAUAUACCAUUCGUGGUGAUAUCUGAUGGAGUUGGAGUGAUAUCUUAUAGUGUCUUCCCGUCAGCAACGCCAGAUAGUUAGAAGUACCUACUAUAUUGUGGUGAUAUCUGAUGGAGUUGGAGUGGUAUCUUAUGGUAUCUUCCCGUCAACAACGCCAGAUAGUUAGAGGUACAUACUACAUCGUGGUGAUAUAUGAUGGAGUUGGAGUGGCAUCUUAUGGUAUCUUCCCGUCAACAACGCCAGAUAGUUAGAGGUACAUACUACAUCGUGGUGAUAUAUGAUGGAGUUGGAGUGGCAUCUUAUGGUAUCUUCCCGUCAACAACGCCAGAUAGUUAGAGGUACAUACUACAUCGUGGUGAUAUCUGAUGGAGUUGGAGUGGUAUCUUAUGGUAUCUUCCCGUCAACAACGCCAGAUAGUUAGAGGUACAUACUACAUCGUGGUGAUAUCUGAUGGAGUUGGAGUGGUAUCUUAUGGUAUCUUCCCGUCAACAACGCCAGAUAGUUAGAGGUACAUACUACAUCGUGGUUAUAUUUGAUGGAGUUUGAGCGGUAUCUUAUGAUAUCUUCCCGUCAGCAACCCCAGAUAGUUAGAUGCAUGGACUACACCGUGGUAAUAUCUGAUGGAGUUGGAGUGGUACCUUAUGAUAUCUUCCUGUCAACAACGCCAGAUAAUUAGAAGUACCCUACUAAAUUGUGGUAAUACCUGAUGAAGUUGGAGUAGUACCUUAUGAUAUCUUCCCAUCAACAACGUUACAUAGUUAGAGAUACAUACUACAUGGUGGUGAUUUCUGAUGGAGUUUGAGCAAUAUCUUAUUAUAUCUUCCCAUCAGCAACGCCAGAUAGUUACAUAUACCUACUACAUCUUUGUGAUAUCUCAUAGAAUUGGAGCCGCAUUUUAUAAUAUCAUCCCGUCAACAAUGCAAUAAGAAGUACCCUACUACAUUAUGAUGAUAUCUCAUAAAAUUGAAGCGAUAUCUUAUAAUAACAUAAUAAUAUUUUAUAAUAUCUCCCCAUCAAGCACACCUAUAUAGCAAAAGAUAUCUACUACCCCAUCCUCUAAAACAUAUUUAAUUUUCUUACUUCCAUAUCAUUUUUUUUUAUUUUCCUAGAUUCAUAAAAAAUAUUGAUAUUUUAUGAAUAAUUGGUUUGAAUUUCCAUCAUUCAAAUGAUACUACAUUGAUCAUGAGAUUCAAUAUAUAUGAGUGGUUAGAGGUUAUGGGUUAUGAGCGUCUAAAUUCUAUGUAAAUCAACAAUUAGAAGAUCAAUUUCAAAUUAGCUUGGCUCAGAUGAAUCUUCUCAUGAUCAUUGUCUUCCCGUUGGAUGCCAUUUCAUUUUCAGUCUUUAUUCUGGAGCUGUUGAUUUUGCACUCCAGCAGAGUUAUUGUACUAUGAUUUCCUUCAGGAAUUAUGCACAACUUCAAUAAAUUAUAUGUACGAAUUGAGGGUUAUAUCAAAAUUAAAAACGGAAAUAUUUCGAUAUUUAAAGAUUCGUAUAUCAUGAACCGUUUAAAUUAACUUUUUAUAUUAUUCAUCAACAAACCUUAUGCUUGUUUUCUAUGAAAAAAUUGUCACACUAGUGCCUUUAGAUGGAUGUAUAUGGUAAUAGUCUUCCAAACUAAUGGUAUAAGUGUACAAGUAAAAGCGAACCAUAUUGAGAAUGGUAG
rnacentral:lncRNA from 1 species